AUUUUCUUCAGCGAGAGCCCUCAGAUCACUGCGCAGGAUGCCGCAGAGCAAGGUAUGAGUGCUGUUAACAUUUUCAUGGGCCCUGGACAACUCUCAAACAUUUGACACUCUCCAAGACUUCCAACCCGGAGUCUCAGUCCCCUGAUUUCUGAUUCAGGCCUGACCAGCAUAUCGAAGAGUGGAAUCUUGAAACGGCCUUCAUCACCCCUGCCUGGUAA